rnacentral:rRNA from 1 species
UAAUACGGAAGGUCCGGGCGUUAUCCGGAUUUAUUGGGUUUAAAGGGAGCGUAGGCCGGAGAUUAAGCGUGUUGUGAAAUGUAGAUGCUCAACAUCUGCACUGCAGCGCGAACUGGUUUCCUUGAGUACGCACAAAGUGGGCGGAAUUCGUGGUGUAGCGGUGAAAUGCUUAGAUAUCACGAAGAACUCCGAUUGCGAAGGCAGCUCACUGGAGCGCAACUGACGCUGAAGCUCGAAAGUGCGGGUAUCGAACAGGAUUAGAUACCCUGGUAGUCCGCACGGUAAACGAUGGAUGCCCGCUGUUGGUCUGAAUAGGUCAGCGGCCAAGCGAAAGCAUUAAGCAUCCCACCUGGGGAGUACGCCGGCAACGGUGAA